rnacentral:pre_miRNA from 1 species
GGUGAUUGUGAGUCUGGUGCAUGUUCAUGAUGACGUCAUGACUAGAUCCACACUCAUCCA